UGGGGAAUUUUGGACAAUGGGCGCAAGCCUGAUCCAGCCAUGCCGCGUGUCUGAAGAAGGCCUUCGGGUUGUAAAGGACUUUUGUCAGGGAAGAAAAGGGCGGGGUUAAUACCCCUGUCUGAUGACGGUACCUGAAGAAUAAGCACCGGCUAACUACGUGCCAGCAGCCGCGGUAAUACGUAGGGUGCGAGCGUUAAUCGGAAUUACUGGGCGUAAAGUGGGCGCAGACGGUUACUUAAGCAGGAUGUGAAAUCCCCGGGCUCAACCUGGGAACUGCGUUCUGAACUGGGUGACUAGAGUGUGUCAGAGGGAGGUAGAAUUCCACGUGUAGCAGUGAAAUGCGUAGAGAUGUGGAGGAAUACCGAUGGCGAAGGCAGCCUCCUGGGAUAACACUGACGUUCAUGCCCGAAAGCGUGGGUAGCAAACA
rnacentral:rRNA from 1 species